rnacentral:rRNA from 1 species
UCGGAUCGUAAAACUCUGUUGUUAGAGAAGAACAAGGAUGAGAGUAACUGUUCAUCCCUUGACGGUAUCUAACCAGAAAGCCACGGCUAACUACGUGCCAGCAGCCGCGGUAAUACGUAGGUGGCAAGCGUUGUCCGGAUUUAUUGGGCGUAAAGCGAGCGCAGGCGGUUUCUUAAGUCUGAUGUGAAAGCCCCCGGCUCAACCGGGGAGGGUCAU